rnacentral:rRNA from 1 species
UUAUUCGACGGGCGGUGGACUUGGAUGCUGCCGCGUUAAGCGGCUCGUCUUAAUGCAUUAGUGCAACUUUCGGUUGGACAUAGUACAGCGUGAUAAGUAUCUUCGCUGGCUCUCCUCACGGAGGUGUUCGAACGUUAAGCUCUGUGCUUCUAAUCGUCCCCUGGUGGACUAAGCUUCGGCUUACUUGACAACUUGACCUCAAAUCGGGUAGGACUACCCGCUGAACUUAAGCAUAUCAAUAAGCGGAGGAAAAGAAACUAACAAGGAUUCCCCUAGUAACGGCGAGUGAAGAGGGAAGAGCUCAAAUUUUGAAUCUGGCGUCUUCGGCGUCCGAGUUGUAAUCUAAAGAAGUGUUUUCCGCGAUGGACCGUGCACAAGUCUCCUGGAACGGUGCGUCAUAGAGGGUGAGAAUCCCGUAUAUGGCACGGACUACCAUUGCUCUGUGAUACACUCUCGACGAGUCGAGUUGUUUGGGAAUGCAGCUCAAAAUGGGUGGUAAAUUCCAUCUAAAGCUAAAUAUUGGCGAGAGAUCCUGAUAGCGAACAAGUACCGUGAGGGAAAGAUGAAAAGCACUUUGGAAAGAGAGUGAAACAGUCACGUGAAAUUGUUGAAAGGGAAACGCUUGAAGUCAGUCGCGCUCAUUUGGAUUCAGCCUGGCUUUUGCCUGGUUUACUUCCUUGUGGGCGGGUCAACGUCAGUUUUGACCGGAGGAAAAAGCUUUGAGAAAUGUGGCAGCUUGCUGUGUUAUAGUCUCUUGGUGUAUACUUCGGUUGGGACUGAGGACCGCAGCGCGCCUUACGGCCGGGGUUCGCCCACGUACUGCGCUUAGGAUGUGGCAUAAUGCUA